ensembl:lncRNA
CUAAAGUCCUCCUGGGGUCUCCUGAGGUCCUCCUGGGGGUCUCCUGAGGUCCACUUGGGGGGUCUCCUGAGAUCCUCCUGGGGUCUCCGGAUGUCCUCCUGGGGGGUCUCCUGAGGUCCUCCUGGGGUCUCUGGAUGUCCUCCUGGGGGUCUCCUGAAGUCCUCCUGGGGUCUCCUGAGCAUCCUCCUGGGGGUCUCCUGAGAUCCUCUUGAAGGUCUCCUGAUAUCCUCCUGGAGGUCUCCUGAGCAUCCUUCUGGGGGUUCUCCUAUAGAGGUCCUCCUGGAAGUUUCCUGAAGAAGUCCUCCUGGGAGUUUCUUGGAGAUGUCAUCCAGGGGGGCUCUGGAAGAAAUCAUCCUGGGGGUUUCCUGGAGGGAGAUCUGCCUCUGCCAUGGGGGUUCUCUUGGGGGCUGGCUUAAGGGAGCAGCCACAGCUCUUCUUCAUAGGACAGGACACACAGGGACACAUGCUAUAUGGAGGCCUGGACUGUCCCCAGAGCCUGUCUCUCAUCUGUCAUGAGAAAAUGAUGGAAAGUGGGGACUUUUUUUUUUUUUUGGUACUGGGGAUCGAACUUAGGUCCUUGCGCUUGCGAAGCAGGAGGCAGAACCACUGAGCUAAAUGCCCAGCCCAUGUGGGGACUUUUUCUCUGCAGCUGUGUUUUUUUUAAAAUUUAAUUUAAUUUUAUUUUUUGGUACCGGGGAUCGAACUUGGGUCCUUGCGCUUGUGCAGCAGGCAGCGAAACCACUGAGCUAAAUCCCCGGCCCUUGCAGCUGCGUUUUGCAAGGUUCCCUCUGUUUCAGAGGGGGCACCUGAGUCUUCAGUUUCCACGAUGGGUUCCCCCGAAGCCCCCGCAGGAGCCACCCCCUCAGAGUAGUCUCUUUGGGCAGUAUUGAAAGCCAGGGCCGUGGGAAGGUGGGGACAUUGGGAGCGUGUUGCCUUUGCAGUUUUUGUGUGGUACAGAGGUGCCCGCAGCUGGCCAACAUUCACACAGGUGUUCAAGGCACACUUGGAGCCAGAGGUGGCUUUGAGGUUCACAUCUGCCAUGGCCUCGUGGGCACUGCACUUGACUCUGGAGUGGAUGGAGACAUUUGCUAGCUAUCCUGUCAACUUCGCAGAUUUCACAACACCUGAUGAAAAGGGCUCCAGCGACAUCUGGGGAGACUUCAAAGUUUGUCUCAUUCCUGUUUUGGUCCCAAAUCAAAUCCACAAAACUAAGGUGGCUCAGGUGGCUCGCCAUGGCGCGAGCUCUGGCCAUAUUGGUGAGGAGGGGCAGCCUGGCCUUGUCUUGAGAAGUCCUCAGCUGAGCCCUCUUGGGGGUCAGGCUUGGGCUCCCCAGGGCCUUCGGCUGAGCCUCCAGGAACUGAGAAUGCUGGCAGGUGCUCAGGAUGGGGGACAUAGAUGAGUGUGCUUAGGAACAGCAGGACCCCAGGUUCUGAGCCCUGGCCUUGGCACACAAGGCUGCUGUCUCCUGGGUGGGUCGAGGGGGGAAGAAGCCCGGUGACCCCAGUGGAGUCCAUUUUCAUGUCUUCUACAAACUUCCUUUCCUCCAUGGGUCCCCGCUGCAACUAUCUGAGCCUGGAAUUCUGGGGUCAUCAACUCCCCAGAAGACACAGGAGGCCUCAUGGGGUUCCCAGCACAGCAGGGAUUCACUCGUCCAAAGCAGCAGGGGUCUCACCCGGGCUGAGCCACAGCGGCAGUGCCUCAGUGGGCACACUGGCAGCAGAGCCUGAGGCCCAAGGAUCUUCAGAACUUCCCCAAGGAUGCGCUCAGGCCAAAGGGAAGAGGCCCUCCCCAGCUCUCAGGGCAUUGCUUGGUCUGUAUGCAUGUAUGUAUUUAGUACUGAGCAUUGAACCCAGGGCCCUCCCUAAGCUACAUCCCCAGCCCUUUGUUUGUGUUUUGAGAAAGGGUCUCAUUAAGUUACUAAGUUGCCAGGACUGGGUUUGAACUGACAAUUAAUCCUCCUGCCUCAGCCUCCCAGAGUUCUAGAAUUACAGGUGUGUGCCACCAGUUUGCAUUCUCUUUUACACACCAAGGUCUCCUAUUUUUCAGACCUGAUAUUUGUAUUCCACAAUUUCCUUCACAAAAUCUAGAUUUCUAAUCACUUCCUUUUGUGAAGACUUGUCCUGUGAUAUGCGGCCGGGCACGCAGGCACUGGCUCCUUGGAAAUGGUACCAUUGAGACGGUGACCCCAGGUGUUGUGGAUCCCCGGCCAUGCCUAGGCCAUUCCUGUGAUGCCAGGAAACAGCUGCACAGAUGUCUCGCUCUGCGCGUGACCAGAGGGAAAGCAUGUCUCUCCCCUGGGUUAAGGCCCUGGGUGGCAGUGAAGUCAUCAGGGACCCUGCCCAAGGCACCCACCUGCACUGUCUUCCUUCACUUCUCAAAAAGAGGCCCAGGACAGAGCCUGACUUAGGGUUGCCCCCUUGCAAGUGGCAGACGCUGAGGCAGGAAGCCCAGGGACUUGAGUCACCCACCCCAAUCCCAAGUGGGGUUGCAGUGUCCCCAUUACCUCUCCUCAUAGCAGGGGAAGCUUCUCGCCCUAGAGGACUCUUCUGUGCCCCUCUUGGGUCACUGUGGGUGGUCGGACUCAGCGAUGGGCCCCGGCCCAGGGCUACGAAGGAGGUGCCUGAGCAUCUCCAGGCAGAGGAAUUGUGGGUGCAGAGGGAAUGAACAUUACGGAGAUGAGCUCUGCAGUGCCUCCCUUCAGGCCUGGGUAGGACCAAGCACACCAAACUCUGCUCCAGACCCGGGCCCAGGCGUGUGCAGCCCCCAGAGACGAAUGCCAGUCACUGUGUUUGAGGACACCCCCCGCAACAGUGGAAGGGGGAGGAGGGGUGGGUCGGUCCACUCUGGCUCUCUGGGGACCAGCCUCUCUCUCCACGAGUCUCAUCCAAUUCCCGAACCUCACCUUUCUCAUGAACAGUGUGCAGCUCACUCUGCUGCCUCUGCGCCUCCACACGGUGCUGACAUUGACUGUCACCCCCUUAACAAAGAGUGCCUGCACACUUGCCUUGGGGUGGUUCCACCUGGGGCUGGCCCUUCUCUCGAAGGCUCCGUCUCGACGAUGACUGAGGGGCCUGAUGGGAGAAAGCACCUGACAUCAGUUAGUCGACUGACUGAGAAAGUCCACCCUCUGAGCAUCCAGGGGCUCAGCCUGGGCCUUAUUUGGAAGUAGGUUCAUGCAGAUGCACUGAGUUAAGAUCAGGUCACCCUGGAUGGGCACAUGCUUAGUCCAGUGUGAUCAGGGUCCAUGUAAGAAGAGAGGUCAAGAGCCCCAGAGGAGGCCACGUGAAGACAGAGCUGGAGACUGGGGUGACAUGGCCACAUGGCAAGGGACGCCUGGAGCCCCCAGCAUUCCUGAGGGCCUCCAGAGGGACCCCCCUACCCCUCCAAUGCCGGAUGUUGAACCUCUGGCCUCACAACUAUGAGAGAGUGAACCGCUGUCAUUUGUCCUUGGUUACGACAGCCCUGGGGCAUGCGCCAUCCCUGUGCUGCAUUACAACAAAUCCCAGGAUCCCCCUGGUCCGGUAUCUGUUUGCACAGAUUUCCGGAUGGAUCUGGUCCACAAGAGCAAGUGAAGACAACUCUGUACACUUCUGUGGUCAGGGGACAGGAGAAAUGGAGCAGCAGCCAGGGAGUGUGCGGUCAAGGUAGUUCUGUUCUUUAAGGUCUGGGACUCUGAGUGCAUUUGCGUCCUGCUGAGAAAGCACACGGGAGAAUGGAUGAUGCCGGUGUGAGGGAGACGCCCAAGGGCAGCUGCUCAGUCUCACCCAGAACCCUUCAGGCCCGGCCCUCCUGUAGGUGGAGGGUGGAGCCCAGAGGCAGGAGGAGCAAGUGGGUCCACUUCACCCCAACUCCAGGGAGAGGCACCCUACGCAGACAUAGAGUGAGUCCUGUACCCCGGUCUCCCGAGUUUGCCCUACACAGCUUUCAAGUCAGACCUCUGCUGCCUGGUCAGGAACCUCAGUGUAGGGACCUCGGCUCCCCUGGGCAUUGGACACUGAGCAGCAGGCCCAGAAUGAGGCUCCAAGGAGGAAGGGACAUGUCCACUUGGGUCGUGUUUGCAUCACAGCUCUGGGCUUGGCAUCCCCAGACUCCAGCCCUGGAUUUCCAGCAGCUGGAGCUCUGCACAGAGUUCUUCCUAUAGGACAUUUUGUGGACACAAUCAAGAAACAGGGCUCCGGGCCAUCACUCUGAGUGUCCAGUGCAGAGCUGCUGGAGUGGUCACUUGUGGCCAAACUCUGAAUCCUGGGUGAGGAGCAGUAAGCAGGGAGUGUCCCAUUCCACUCAGAGCCUCUGUCCCAAAGGCAGGUGAGGCUUCCUAGGGCUGACAGCAGGGGCAGCCCUGUCCUCUCCAGCAGGAAGGAAUGUUCUCCUUUGUGUCCACCUGCAGGUUUGUACUCAGAUCUGCCAUGUGGGGGGCCUGUGGUCUGACCUGCCCUUCUUGCCUCUGGGGAGCCCUCCUUCGAGGCCCCUGCAGAGCCCCAUCCAGCCAAGGCCUGGCCUGCUGCACGCAGAGUGCUCUGGGGAGGAGGAGCCUUGGGCUUCCACGUCACGGGGACGGACGUUGUUCCCCAAGGCAGCUGCUGCUGCAGAGAGGAAGGUGGCUCCUGUGUGCCAGAUGCACAGAGGCGAGCGGGUGGGUAAGUGUCCUGCCUGCCUGGCCUCCAGGGGACGACUGAAGUGCAUUCACUGUGGUGUCUCAAGGAGACCCCAGGAGGCCAGAGCCCUGGUCCCUCACAGAAUCUCCUCCAUUUCUUCCUCCUGGGUCUCACUCUUCCUGCCUGCCUCACUUUGGCGUCACAUUGCACACAAACGGCCUUCACCCAAGUCCCUGUCGCAGUCAGGGUUUGCUUUUGGGACACCGAAGCCGGCCAGAGUGUGUGAUUAAUGCCAGCAGGAGUGGGGGUCCUGAGGAGAGAGAGCCAAGGCAGGGCCUCGGGGGCAGCCUCAGCCAGAUGGGACAGAGGCAGGAGGCUGACUGCACGCAGAGGCUGCGUGCCUGGCUGGCCCCCAGGUGCAGAAGGCAUAGUGGGCUGGUGCAGAGGAGGGCAGUGGGGCCUGCCUGGGAAGUCAGGGGCCACACAUGUGUGUGCCUCACAGCCUGUGUCCGGAGCCCUCUGUGUCUCUCCUUUUGCGAAUGUUGGUUGGUUCUGAGUACAAAAGGCAGAAGUGCCAGUCAGUCUGCUUGCAAGCCACGAGGCUGCCCAAGUCAUAGCCACUCCUCUGGCGUGCUGGACUCGGCUUAUCUGCAGAAACGACACCAUCCUGGAGUGUUUGCUCUGCACUGAAACUAGAAGUGCACUAAGUUCCCAGACAGGCCCUGGGCAGCCGGAACACAGGUGCAUGAAUUGGGUUCUACUGGCUACAUUACCAGCCAAGAUCCGGCAGCAGGAGCAGCAGCCACUCCUGUGGGAGCAGCCACUCAUUUCCUGUCCCAGUAGAAGGACCACGAGCCCAGAGGGUGGUGGCUCCUUUAGCACAGACCAUGGAGCAGCCACUGCUGGCUCUGUCUCGGGACACAUCCCUGCCCAGGGCCAGAGCCCCCUGCUCUCCGUGUGACCCACAGAGGACUCCCUAAGAGGACCCCCCACGUCCUCUUACCCCCGGCAUGGAGGGGCCUGCGGGGUCAGCCAAGGCCAAGUGGGCCCCGCACAGGCCUGGAGCUGUUUGUGGGAAGUGGCAGAGCCCUCGUGGGAAAGGCCUGCCUCAGGCGGCCUGAGGUCUGCCCACAGCACGGCCCUGGCUGUGUCUCCUGCGUGUCCCAGGCAGCUGCCACCCUUGAAGAAGUCCCUGCUCCCACCUGAGAGCUGGCCCGGAGCUGGAGCUGACCUCAGUGUCACCCCCGGGCCCUUUCCAUGGUGCCCAGCGACAGGCCUGGGGCCCUGGCAACAGCUGCCCCCUUGGUCACAUGGACCUAGUCACAGGCCUCCUCCGGAAAGGGAAGUAAAAGGGGCCAUCACCCUCUAGGGGGCGCAGUUCCCAGGCCUGGGGAAGUUGUGAGCCCCUCGUGGGUGGGGCUGCCUGGGCACGCCCUUUGGGGUCACCACUCUCCCUCGGUGGGGCCACAGGCCACAAGAUCAUGGCCCCUUUCCAGAAGAAGCCCCGAGGCCUGGGACCUCCUCCCCGCAUCAGCAGCAAGACCUCCCGAGCCCUGCCCUCCCCUCUGCUUCCCACUGCCAGGAAUUCCAAGGGGUUCUGAGGUGGACCGCACACGCACACACACACAAAGACAAAACAAGCAGCUUCCGGAGCCUUGGGAGACGCGGACUGGGGUCUCAGCCUCACCUGCUUCUCUACCUUCAGCUAACCCUGGCUGAGGGCUCAGCACUGUCAGCGUGACCUGACUCCUCAGGUGUGCUGUCAUCUUACCAUGAGCUGAGAGCCUCCUUGGAUGCCAUCAACAGCCACCUGCAGAGGACACAGGCCUCGCCUGCGGCCACACCUGCCCUUGCUGCCUGGCUGUGCAGUGGAGACCCCUGUGCCUCACCUCUGCAUCACAACACUCGGCAGGGCUGACACACUGGCAGCUCCGCGCCCAGGCCAGCUGAUUCCAUCAUUUGAAGAUGCCAUUUCUUCUGAGCCAGAGAUUUUAUGGCUCUAAGGAUUAGAAGCUGUUAUCCCAACCCACCCCGGAGCACUCUAUUCUGAGUUUAUGGCAGGUGUGGACAGCUCCGUCUGCAGGUCCCAGAGUCCACUCCAAGCACCUCCCCAAGGGCACAAAGUCCCGUCCCCUGGGCCUCCACCCUGGAGCCAGAAGAGCUUGCAGAGACACUUCUGUCCACUGCAGAAGGACGUCAGGAAGCCAAGCUUGCAGAGGUGACCUGGCCUCUCUCAGAGGCCAGGAAGAGGCAACUGUGGGAGCCACAUCCAGCCCCUGUCCUUCCUGCCCCUGCCGGCCUGCUGACCCACCUCCCCAGCAGUGUCCACCCGACCACACUGAGCCUUGCCGGUCACCUCUCUCCCCCAGCAUCUGGCUCCAGACACAACCCUCUGGCUCCUGAGCUGUCUUUAGUGGUCGCUGUAGGAUUUCUGUGUACAUCUCAUCAGAGUCAACCUCAGGGUCUGCAGGAUUCUGUGGGGGUGGGGAUGGGGGGGUCAGGAAAUACAACUCCCACACAGCUCCUUCCCUCUGGCUUUUAUGGCACUGUUCUGUACAUGUGACUCUCUCAGGAUUACAAAGCCCACAACACAUCUGGCAGUUAUUCCCUUGCACGGGUCCUCACGCCCACAGCCCGGUCUGGCCUCACUCCCUCCCACCUUUGUGUAACUACUCCCAAACAUGAUACGUGGGUGCUACCUUUCCCUCUGCCACAAGCCUGACAAUCCAUUCCAUGCACAUCCUUUUCUAUGCCUGUUUGUUAUGUGCACGUGUCAACUUCACACAAGGAAUGUAAAUAUUAGGUGUUGCAAACAUGUAUUAAUAAAAAAAAACAGUUAAGAGGAAAAAAGGAGUUUUCCUUUCAAUGCCUUUUAUAAUUACUUUUGCUGGGCUCUUGGUCAGUGGUUCGAUCACCUCUUUCACCCGGAC